rnacentral:rRNA from 1 species
UACGGAGGGUGCAAGCGUUAUCCGGAAUCACUGGGUUUAAAGGGUGCGUAGGCGGCUUAAUAAGUCAGAGGUGAAAGGCUGUGGCUCAACCAUGGGAUUGCCUUUGAUACUGUUAGGCUUGAAUCAGGCUGAGGUUGGCAGAAUGUGGCAUGUAGCGGUGAAAUGCAUAGAUAUGCCAUAGAAUACCGAUUGCGAAGGCAGCUGACUUGCCCUUGAUUGACGCUGAGGCACGAAAGCGUUGGGAGCUAACAGU